UAACGAAUAUUCCGCAAUGCGCGAAAGCGUGACGGAGCAAUGCCGCGUGCAGGAUGAAGCGGUUUCGCCGUGUAAACUGCUGUCAGGGGCAGGAAAUACUGAUCCGCCCCAGAGGAAGAGACGGCUAACCCUGUGCCAGCAGCCGCGGUAAGACAGGGGUCUCGAGCGUUAAUCGGAAUCACUGGGCUUAAAGGGUGCGUAGGCGGACCAGUAAGCGUCCUGUGAAAUCCCAUGGCUCAACCAUGGAAUUGCAGGGCGAACUGCUGGUCUUGAGGAAGCUAGAGGCUGGCAGAACGAUUGGUGGAGCGGUGGAAUGCGUAGAUAUCAAUCGGAAUGCCGAAAGUGAAGACAGCCAGCUGGGGCUUUCCUGACGCUGAGGCACGAGAGCGUGGGUAGCAAACCGGAUUAGAUACCCGGGUAGUCCACGCCCUAAACGAUGUACACUAGACUGAAGCGGCUCUGACGUCGUUUUGGUCGUAGAGAAAUUGAUAAGUGUACCGCCUGGGGAGUACGGUCGCAAGGCUA
rnacentral:rRNA from 1 species